AGGAUGGAACAGAAGGGGACUCCUCUUUGGAAAGAUAGAAUUUGCUGAAGCUCUGGUUUUUGACCAGCUCUCAGAACCACUCUCAGGAGUCAUCCACGUGCUCGGUGGUUGCUGCUCUCUUCAGAGAUUAUAAUCUCCUUCAAGCAGAGACUCAUCUUCUUGCACAACUCUGAAUGCCACUGAAGUCAGAAACUGCACAGCCAUCAACACCGAGAUAAUGCAGAAGACCCUGAUGUAUUUUGCAAUUCUAUAUCUGAAAGAACAGCUAGGAGUGCCAUGAUCUGCCCCUUUGACAGCCAUGGGAGGUAGAUAUAGAGAAGACAGCCUCAGGCAUGGAUCUGCAGUCACUGCCA
rnacentral:lncRNA from 1 species